UGGGGGACCUGGUUGGCAGUUAUGUGUCGUGUAUUCAAUAUGAGAACGAGUCGGAAAAGUAUGUCGUCGAGCAGGACUCCACCAUGAACUUCCACCAAAUAGAUGACUUCAACAAACAAAAGUUGUACGGUACUUUUUGGAAUGCGACGAGGCGGCACAUCUUACACGACAGAAACAAGGCAGGAUGAAUGAUUGACGCCGAAGCAGACGUAAAAUGGGUGGCAAACGACGUGCAGAAGAAAAAAAGGCAAGGCAGGGCAAACUAGCGAGAAGCACUGCACGAAGGCAUGCAGAAAAAAAUAGUUUCUAUCCCUGGAUUCCGCGAAAAUCAGUUUAUCGAGCACACGAACGUUCGAAAGGUAGAAGAAGACGUGGAACAUUUACAGAGAGAAGUCCGGCGAAACUUAACCGUAUGCUCCAAAAGGCCAUCGCUUCGAAGCUUUUCCAAAGUGGUUCUGCUAAGACCCGUUUGAGCACCUCUGCACUCCCAGUCCCUCCAGGAGCCCUGACGAAAACCACACUGCCUGUGACAUGCAGUAAGUUGUCCUGCUGCAUGCCCUAAGCAAAUUGCACAGUAUGCAUAACUCACAUAUAAGUAUCUGUUUUGACAUGUCACUAUACCAUCUUGUGUUAAUAAUCUGAAGUGGGACGUGGUCUGCAGUAAAAAUAAAUAAAAAACUGUGGACACAGUUGCUCUUGAGCUGCUCAGUGUUUCACUACGCAUCUGUUGUAACAUGCCACUCUGUUCCUCAUGAGGUGGAAAUCACAAAGUAGGUGGUGUUAAGAAAGCUUGAUAGCUGUGCUCCGUGUGCCCUCAAUUUUUACAUCUUAUCUCUCUGGUACACUGAACUUUUUGGUCUUAAUACAUGGGGUAGCAGGCAAAUUUUGUUGCAAGUAAUCUGUGUGUUCAGGGAAGGAGUCUCAUAUAUGUGGCCUUAAUUUACAUCUUUUGAACUCAAAUGAAAGCAUCUCUAUCAACAUCUCGUUUAAACACAGAAGUCAAGAUUUACAGCCAUGCAGAAAGACAGUUCUGGUUUUCAGCUGAGCGUUCUUGAACACUUCUCGCCAUUGCCACACCAUGUGUGAACCCCUACUGAUUUUUUAGAUACAUGAACCGGAACUUAGUAAUAACUAAAAAAAUCACUGUGGAUCCUCGUUUCUUUUAAUCUUUUCAAUGCAAUAGCUCUUACUAAACGUCUCCUUUGCUAUCGCAUAGGUGCUAAAUCAGGUGAAAUAAAAUUCACUAGUUCCAUAUUUAUUGAUUCAAUGAACCUAUGCAUAUGAGCAACACAGUGGUCAGAUCACGGGAGAACAUCCAGGGAUGCUAACCGAGAAUAAAACUCUUCCAUAAAGAUAAAAAUGGCUAGGAAGCGAGCUGGUGGAGAUGAUGCGUGAUGUAAAACCCCGAGACUCGGGGGGGGGGGGGGUCUUACAUCAUGCAUCUUCCAUGCUGUCAGCAUUUAAAAAAAAUUUUCAGCUGGGGGAUUUCUGGAUAACACCAUGUAUACAUGAUGGCCACUCAUAUGUCUUGUUUUUUUCUUUCAGCAACCCUUUCGUAGUUCUUACAAGAAAAGCGGUGUGUUGGAAAAGAGGCACCAAAAAGGUCGCACACAGUAUCGCACUUAAGCGUGCUGAAAUAUGAGACGUUAAAACAGUAACAUAUGAUUCAAGUGUCCUCAUAUUUUUACUAAUUUGCUGUAUUGUCAAGCAUCUCGCUUUUUUCCCUACUU